GGAAUUUUGGACAAUGGGGGCAACCCUGAUCCAGCCAUGCCGCGUGCGGGAAGAAGGCCUUCGGGUUGUAAACCGCUUUUGUCAGGGAAGAAAUCCUUUGGGCUAAUACCCUGGGGGGAUGACGGUACCUGAAGAAUAAGCACCGGCUAACUACGUGCCAGCAGCCGCGGUAAUACGUAGGGUGCGAGCGUUAAUCGGAAUUACUGGGCGUAAAGCGUGCGCAGGCGGUCAUACAAGACAGAUGUGAAAUCCCCGGGCUCAACCUGGGAACUGCAUUUGUGACUGUAUGGCUAGAGUACGGUAGAGGGGAGUGGAAUUCCGCGUGUAGCAGUGAAAUGCGUAGAUAUGCGGAGGAACACCGAUGGCGAAGGCAGCUCCCUGGACCUGUACUGACGCUCAUGCACGAAAGCGUGGGGAGCAAACAGGAUUAGAUACCCUGGUAGUCCACGCCCUAAACGAUGUCAACUGGUUGUUGGGAGGGUUUCUUCUCAGUAACGUAGCUAACGCGUGAAGUUGACCGCCUGGGGAGUACGGCCGCAAGGUUGAAACUCAAAUGAAUUGACGG
rnacentral:rRNA from 1 species